UUAACGCUGGCAGAGUGCAUAACACAUGCAAGUCGAGCGGGGCUAUUUGCGAUUACAUCAAGAGUAGUCUAGCGGCAGACGAGUGAGUAACACGUAAGCAACCUGCCCUCAAAUGGCGAACAACCAGCCGAAAGGUUGGCUAAUACGCCGUAUAAUCUCCCGAGGGCAUCUUCGGGGGAUGAGAGGCCCGCAAGGGUCGUUUGAGGAGGGGCUUGCGUCCCAUCAGCUAGUUGGUAGGGUAACGGCCUACCAAGGCAAUGACGGGUACCCGGCCUGAAAGGGCGGACGGGCACGAUGGCACUGAGACACGGGCCAUACUCCUACGGGAGGCAGCAGUGGGGAAUUUUGGACAAUGGGGGAAACCCUGAUCCAGCAACUCUGCGUGAGGGACGAAGUCUUUCGGGAUGUAAACCUCUUUUGUUGGGGACGAAUGCCCGCAAGGGUUUGACGGUACCCGACGAAUAAGCCACGGCUAACUAUGU
rnacentral:rRNA from 1 species